UUAAGUUAUUAAGGGCGCACGGUGGAUGCCUUGGCACUAGAAGUCGAUGAAGGACGUUACUAACGACGAUAUGCUUUGGGGAGCUGUAAGUAAGCUUUGAUCCAGAGAUUUCCGAAUGGGGAAACCCAGCAUGAGUUAUGUCAUGUUAUCGAUAUGUGAAUACAUAGCAUAUCAGAAGGCACACCCGGAGAACUGAAACAUCUUAGUACCCGGAGGAAGAGAAAGAAAAUUCGAUUCCCUUAGUAGCGGCGAGCGAAACGGGAAGAGCCCAAACCAACAAGCUUGCUUGUUGGGGUUGUAGGACACUCUAUACGGAGUUACAAAGGACGACAUUAGACGAAUCAUCUGGAAAGAUGAAUCAAAGAAGGUAAUAAUCCUGUAGUCGAAAAUGUUGUCUCUCUUGAGUGGAUCCUGAGUACGACGGAACACGUGAAAUUCCGUCGGAAUCUGGGAGGACCAUCUCCUAAGGCUAAAUACUCUCUAGUGACCGAUAGUGAACCAGUACCGUGAGGGAAAGGUGAAAAGCACCCCGGAAGGGGAGUGAAAUAGAACCUGAAACCGUGUGCUUACAAGUAGUCAGAGCCCGUUAAUGGGUGAUGGCGUGCCUUUUGUAGAAUGAACCGGCGAGUUACGAUUUGAUGCAAGGUUAAGCAGUAAAUGUGGAGCCGUAGCGAAAGCGAGUCUGAAUAGGGCGUUUAGUAUUUGGUCGUAGACCCGAAACCAGGUGAUCUACCCUUGGUCAGGUUGAAGUUCAGGUAACACUGAAUGGAGGACCGAACCGACUUACGUUGAAAAGUGAGCGGAUGAACUGAGGGUAGCGGAGAAAUUCCAAUCGAACCUGGAGAUAGCUGGUUCUCUCCGAAAUAGCUUUAGGGCUAGCCUCAAGUGAUGAUUAUUGGAGGUAGAGCACUGUUUGGACGAGGGGCCCCUCUCGGGUUACCGAAUUCAGACAAACUCCGAAUGCCAAUUAAUUUAACUUGGGAGUCAGAACAUGGGUGAUAAGGUCCGUGUUCGAAAGGGAAACAGCCCAGACCACCAGCUAAGGUCCCAAAAUAUAUGUUAAGUGGAAAAGGAUGUGGCGUUGCCCAGACAACUAGGAUGUUGGCUUAGAAGCAGCCAUCAUUUAAAGAGUGCGUAAUAGCUCACUAGUCGAGUGACACUGCGCCGAAAAUGUACCGGGGCUAAACAUAUUACCGAAGCUGUGGAUUGUCCUUUGGACAAUGGUAGGAGAGCGUUCUAAGGGCGUUGAAGCAUGAUCGUAAGGACAUGUGGAGCGCUUAGAAGUGAGAAUGCCGGUGUGAGUAGCGAAAGACGGGUGAGAAUCCCGUCCACCGAUUGACUAAGGUUUCCAGAGGAAGGCUCGUCCGCUCUGGGUUAGUCGGGUCCUAAGCUGAGGCCGACAGGCGUAGGCGAUGGAUAACAGGUUGAUAUUCCUGUACCACCUAUAAUCGUUUUAAUCGAUGGGGGGACGCAGUAGGAUAGGCGAAGCGUGCGAUUGGAUUGCACGUCUAAGCAGUAAGGCUGAGUAUUAGGCAAAUCCGGUACUCGUUAAGGCUGAGCUGUGAUGGGGAGAAGACAUUGUGUCUUCGAGUCGUUGAUUUCACACUGCCGAGAAAAGCCUCUAGAUAGAAAAUAGGUGCCCGUACCGCAAACCGACACAGGUAGUCAAGAUGAGAAUUCUAAGGUGAGCGAGCGAACUCUCGUUAAGGAACUCGGCAAAAUGACCCCGUAACUUCGGGAGAAGGGGUGCUCUUUAGGGUUAACGCCCAGAAGAGCCGCAGUGAAUAGGCCCAAGCGACUGUUUAUCAAAAACACAGGUCUCUGCUAAACCGUAAGGUGAUGUAUAGGGGCUGACGCCUGCCCGGUGCUGGAAGGUUAAGAGGAGUGGUUAGCUUCUGCGAAGCUACGAAUCGAAGCCCCAGUAAACGGCGGCCGUAACUAUAACGGUCCUAAGGUAGCGAAAUUCCUUGUCGGGUAAGUUCCGACCCGCACGAAAGGCGUAACGAUUUGGGCACUGUCUCAACGAGAGACUCGGUGAAAUCAUAGUACCUGUGAAGAUGCAGGUUACCCGCGACAGGACGGAAAGACCCCGUGGAGCUUUACUGUAGCCUGAUAUUGAAAUUCGGCACAGCUUGUACAGGAUAGGUAGGAGCCUUUGAAACGUGAGCGCUAGCUUACGUGGAGGCGCUGGUGGGAUACUACCCUAGCUGUGUUGGCUUUCUAACCCGCACCACUUAUCGUGGUGGGAGACAGUGUCAGGCGGGCAGUUUGACUGGGGCGGUCGCCUCCUAAAAGGUAACGGAGGCGCUCAAAGGUUCCCUCAGAAUGGUUGGAAAUCAUUCAUAGAGUGUAAAGGCAUAAGGGAGCUUGACUGCGAGACCUACAAGUCGAGCAGGGUCGAAAGACGGACUUAGUGAUCCGGUGGUUCCGCAUGGAAGGGCCAUCGCUCAACGGAUAAAAGCUACCCCGGGGAUAACAGGCUUAUCUCCCCCAAGAGUUCACAUCGACGGGGAGGUUUGGCACCUCGAUGUCGGCUCAUCGCAUCCUGGGGCUGUAGUCGGUCCCAAGGGUUGGGCUGUUCGCCCAUUAAAGCGGUACGCGAGCUGGGUUCAGAACGUCGUGAGACAGUUCGGUCCCUAUCCGUCGUGGGCGUAGGAAAUUUGAGAGGAGCUGUCCUUAGUACGAGAGGACCGGGAUGGACAUACCUCUGGUGUACCAGUUGUCGUGCCAACGGCAUAGCUGGGUAGCUAUGUGUGGACGGGAUAAGUGCUGAAAGCAUCUAAGCAUGAAGCCCCCCUCAAGAUGAGAUUUCCCAACUUCGGUUAUAAGAUCCCUCAAAGAUGAUGAGGUUAAUAGGUUCGAGGUGGAAGCAUGGUGACAUGUGGAGCUGACGAAUACUAAUCGAUCGAAGACUUAAUCAA
rnacentral:rRNA from 1 species